rnacentral:rRNA from 2 species
GUCGAACGAGUUCUGAUUAUUGAAAGGUGCUUGCAUCUUGAUUUAAUUUUGAACGAGUGGCGGACGGGUGAGUAACACGUGGGUAACCUGCCCUUAAGUGGGGGAUAACAUUUGGAAACAGAUGCUAAUACCGCAUAAAUCCAAGAACCGCAUGGUUCUUGGCUGAAAGAUGGCGUAAGCUAUCGCUUUUGGAUGGACCCGCGGCGUAUUAGCUAGUUGGUGAGGUAACGGCUCACCAAGGCAAUGAUACGUAGCCGAACUGAGAGGUUGAUCGGCCACAUUGGGACUGAGACACGGCCCAAACUCCUACGGGAGGCAGCAGUAGGGAAUCUUCCACAAUGGACGCAAGUCUGAUGGAGCAACGCCGCGUGAGUGAAGAAGGCUUUCGGGUCGUAAAACUCUGUUGUUGGAGAAGAAUGGUCGGCAGAGUAACUGUUGUCGGCGUGACGGUAUCCAACCAGAAAGCCACGGCUAACUACGUGCCAGCAGCCGCGGUAAUACGUAGGUGGCAAGCGUUAUCCGGAUUUAUUGGGCGUAAAGCGAGCGCAGGCGGUUUUUUAAGUCUGAUGUGAAAGCCCUCGGCUUAACCGAGGAAGUGCAUCGGAAACUGGGAAACUUGAGUGCAGAAGAGGACAGUGGAACUCCAUGUGUAGCGGUGAAAUGCGUAGAUAUAUGGAAGAACACCAGUGGCGAAGGCGGCUGUCUGGUCUGUAACUGACGCUGAGGCUCGAAAGCAUGGGUAGCGAACAGGAUUAGAUACCCUGGUAGUCCAUGCCGUAAACGAUGAAUGCUAGGUGUUGGAGGGUUUCCGCCCUUCAGUGCCGCAGCUAACGCAUU